GACGAACGCUGGCGGCGUGCUUAACACAUGCAAGUCGAACGGAAAGGCCCUGCUUUUGUGGGGUGCUCGAGUGGCGAACGGGUGAGUAACACGUGAGUAACCUGCCCUUGACUUUGGGAUAACUUCAGGAAACUGGGGCUAAUACCGGAUAGGAGCUCCUGCUGCAUGGUGGGGGUUGGAAAGUUUCGGCGGUUGGGGAUGGACUCGCGGCUUAUCAGCCUGUUGGUGGGGUAGUGGCUUACCAAGGCUUUGACGGGUAGCCGGCCUGAGAGGGUGACCGGCCACAUUGGGACUGAGAUACGGCCCAGACUCCUACGGGAGGCAGCAGUGGGGAAUAUUGCACAAUGGGCGGAAGCCUGAUGCAGCAACGCCGCGUGCGGGAUGACGGCCUUCGGGUUGUAAACCGCUUUCGCCUGUGACGAAGCGUGAGUGACGGUAAUGGGUAAAGAAGCACCGGCUAACUACGCG
rnacentral:rRNA from 1 species